UGUGCGCAGUGGCCGCGCGUGUGUGAGAGCAAAAAGCAGAGAAAGAGCCGGAGAGGGGCAGCGGGACCCUCCUUCUGCCCGCCGAGCCUUCACAUCUCCGGGCGGCUGAACUUUGCCCCGUCGCUCCGCUCCGGACCUGUUAGAGGCCCUCCGCCGGGGAACCGGCAACUUUCCGCCCAGACACGAACAACAUCUCCGGCAACAACACAAAAGUCCCGUUAGGAGGCGGCGGAGUCACGGGGGGGAGUCAGUGCUGGGGGCGGCCGGCGGACGGUGCGGAGCUCCGAAACGUCCCGAAACUGCAUCUCAGAGCGCCGGAGAGCCGCGGGGACCGGCGGACCUCGGCAACAUGUCUGUCCGUCCCGCGGUGCGCUGUGGCCGGCGUGCGGCGGUGCGGCUCCUCGCUGCUCGGGACGGAGGAGGGCGGUGCAGCCGCAGCGUGUCGGCGGAGUCCCGGAAAGAAGCUCCGUGAGGAAGGAACGACAGAGCGGAUCCUCAGCUGGCAGACGGCCGCCUCGCCUCUAAAACCACCGACAGCUGCUUUCCGUUAAUUUAUCUCGGCGGGAGGAGACGGAGGAGAGAGAGGGAGGAGAGAGAGUCGGUGUGUCCCGCACGGAGCGCCUCCUCCUCCGCUCCGCUGCUGCUGCUGCUGCUGCCGGACUUCAGAGCUCCGCCGCCGGACUGCGUCGCUGAGACUGAACGAUCUGACCGCUGAUCAGCUGAUCACUCUGCCAUCGAUCCGCCGCGCGCACUUUCACAAGUACAACCCGCUGAUGCCGCUGCGCGUGCGUGCAUGUCCGCGCACGUGUGUGUGUGUGUCUGUGGUGUGUGUGUGUGUGUGUGUGUGUGUGUGUGUGUGUGUGUGUGUGUGUGUGUGUGUGUGUGUGUGUGUUUAUUGAUCAGCAUCGAUCCGAUCAGACUCUGGGAAUUAAUCUCAGAUUCUCCAGAACUUCUGCUAACUUUGGACCGGAACUCUCCGCCUCCAGUCCGUUUCCUGAUCCUGGAUGAACUUUACGUGGAUCCUUCAGACUGAAGCGGCUUCAGGACCAGAACCAGACCUCCUGUUUCCAUUUAUACUGUAUGUUCAUAAACAAAUCCAUAAAUAUCGUGGAUCUUCAACUUACAUUGGAAUUCCGUUUCUACGGCGCGACGUAUUGCUGAUUUUCGCGGUAAGUCAGAACUCGUGUACAGUACAUAAGUACCUAGUCACUAACACAGAGGUUAAAGUCAUAAUCUGAACCGUCUACCGUCGCACAGUGACGUACCAUGACGUAUCCAUCCACUCCACUUGCCAAUAGUUCCCGUACGAAAUUUGUUUCAACGCUGAAAAAGCCCGUAAGUCAGAAUGAUGGAACAAGACUUACUGGAAAAAAUUAUGGGAGACGGAGACGAAACCAAUGAAACGCUGUAGAUCAGGGAGCUGCUGCACUGUUCAACUUUUUUACUAAUGUGAGGGAUACAGCUAUAAUAUUUCUGUAUUUUGAAAUGUAUGUGAAAACUAACACUUUAAUUUUUUUUUUAGGUUUGUUGCACUUUUAAGUAAUUUGCUGUAGUAGUUCAGACAUAAGUCAAUAUACAUUAUUAAAACUUGGGAUAUAAGGUUGUAUUGCUGGAAAGAAAAUUAAAAUACGCCAAGAAAUUCCACUACAGGAUGUAAAAAUUUGAGAAUAUGUCCUGGAGGGUCAGCACAAUGUUAGGUCUGAAAGGGUUAAUCUGGUGCUCUAGAAUUUAAAUAAAUGAUUAGACUUAGUAUGUGACUGUUCAGAGGUUUGUCAUAAUCCAGAUAUUCCCCCAUCAUUCCUCUUUUCAGCUCUUUUUCUUUCUGUUUCUGCUGCUCUUCUUUUUGAAUUACUUUUCUUUAAUCUGAUUUUUUCUGUUCAUUUCUCUUCUUCUUCUUCUUUUUGCUGCCCUCAUGUUUGUUUCUAGAGUCAAGUGUUUUGAUGCAGAUGAAGGGAAAUAUUGAACAUUCUGACCAUAUAAACCGGAGUUCUCCUCUCCGAGCAGCAGAGAUGGUUUCUUUAGCUAACGAGGAUUCAGAUCCGUCUCCUCCUGCCUCUGACCUGCUCCUGGUUGGAGGCCCGGCUCUGCUGCGGAGGUCCAGGCUGGCAGCAGCUCGGUGGGAGCAGGUGGAGCCUCCAUCCCCAUCCAUCGCUGGUACCGCAGACCCACAUCAGCCGUCUCCAUGGCGACGCCCAGCUCCAGUUUUUGAGUUUCACCUCACGUGUGAUUGGCCGGCGGGCCGGCGUCUCCCGUGACAACUCGAACUCGCCGUUUGUUUCUGCAUCGGACUGACUCAUUUUUAUUUAUACCUGCUUAGAUUCAGGAGGUGUAUUUAUUUAAAACUUUCCUCGGAA